UACGUAGGGUGCGAGCGUUGCCCGGAUUUAUUGGGCGUAAAGGGCGCGUAGGCGGCCACGCACGUCCGUUGUGAAAUCGCCCGGCUCAACUGGGCGGGGUCGGCGGAUACGGCGUGGCUGGAGCAAGCUAGGGGGCAAUGGAAUUCCCGGUGUAGUGGUGGAAUGCGUAGAUAUCGGGAGGAACACCAGUGGCGAAGGCGGCGCUCUGGACCGAGACUGACGCUGAGGCGCGAAAGCGUGGGGAGCAAACAGG
rnacentral:rRNA from 1 species